rnacentral:rRNA from 1 species
UGCAAGUCGAACGAUGAACUCCAGCUUGCUGGGGGGAUUAGUGGCGAACGGGUGAGUAACACGUGAGUAACCUGCCCUGGACUCUGGGAUAAGCGUUGGAAACGACGUCUAAUACCGGAUAGGACUCCUGACCGCAUGGUUGGGGGUGGAAAGUUUUUCGGUCUGGGAUGGACUCGCGGCCUAUCAGCUUGUUGGUGAGGUAAUGGCUCACCAAGGCGUCGACGGGUAGCCGGCCUGAGAGGGUGACCGGCCACACUGGGACUGAGACACGGCCCAGACUCCUACGGGAGGCAGCAGUGGGGAAUAUUGCACAAUGGGCGAAAGCCUGAUGCAGCAACGCCGCGUGCGGGAUGACGGCCUUCGGGUUGUAAACCGCUUUUAGUAGGGAAGAAGGGCUUCGGCUUGACGGUACCUGCAGAAAAAGGACCGGCUAACUACGUGCCAGCAGCCGCGGUAAUACGUAGGGUCCGAGCGUUGUCCGGAAUUAUUGGGCGUAAAGAGCUCGUAGGCGGUUUGUCGCGUCUGCUGUGAAAUCUGGAGGCUCAACCUCCAGCCUGCAGUGGGUACGGGCAGACUAGAGUGCGGUAGGGGAGAAUGGAAUUCCUGGUGUAGCGGUGGAAUGCGCAGAUAUCAGGAGGAACACCGAUGGCGAAGGCAGUUCUCUGGGCCGUAACUGACGCUGAGGAGCGAAAGCGUGGGGAGCGAACAGGAUUAGAUACCCUGGUAGUCCACGCCGUAAACGUUGGGCGCUAGAUGUGGGGACCUUUCCACGGUUUCCGUGUCGUAGCUAACGCAUUAAGCGCCCCGCCUGGGGAGUACGGCCGCAAGGCUAAAACUCAAAGGAAUUGACGGGGGCCCGCACAAGCGGCGGAGCAUGCGGAUUAAUUCGAUGCAACGCGAAGAACCUUACCAAGGCUUGACAUAACCGAGAACGCCCUAGAAAUAGGGAACUCUUUGGACACUCGGUUACAGGUGGUGCAUGGUUGUCGUCAGCUCGUGUCGUGAGAUGUUGGGUUAAGUCCCGCAACGAGCGCAACCCUCGUCGCAUGUUGCCAGCACGUAAUGGUGGGAACUCAUGUGAGACUGCCGGGGUCAACUCGGAGGAAGGUGGGGAUGACGUCAAAUCAUCAUGCCCCUUAUGUCUUGGGCUUCACGCAUGCUACAAUGGCCGGUACAAAGGGCUGCGAUGUCGUAAGGCGGAGCGAAUCCCAAAAAGCCGGUCUCAGUUCGGAUUGAGGUCUGCAACUCGACCUCAUGAAGUCGGAGUCGCUAGUAAUCGCAGAUCAGCAACGCUGCGGUGAAUACGUUCCCGGGCCUUGUACACACCGCCCGUCAAGUCAUGAAAGUCGGUAACACCCGAAGCCGGUGGCCUAACUCCUUGUGGAGGGAGCU